AGCACCUCAUCAAGCACCGAGCCUCUCGAUAAAGAUACAAAGAACCUAGAUUGCUUGCUAUUCAAAGGCUUGAGAUUGCAAAAAUUGAUUUGCAGCACAGAAUUGCAAAGGAGGCUAGAGGCAAUGCUAUUUUACAAGCAAGCUUAGAAAGAAGGAAGCAAGCUCUGCACGAGCAGCGAUUGGCACUUGAACAAGAUGU